GACGAACGCUGGCGGCGUGCUUAACACAUGCAAGUCGAACGGAAAGGCCCUGCUUUUGUGGGGUGCUCGAGUGGCGAACGGGUGAGUAACACGUGAGUAACCUGCCCUUGACUUUGGGAUAACUUCAGGAAACUGGGGCUAAUACCGGAUAGGAGCUCCUGCUGCAUGGUGGGGGUUGGAAAGUUUCGGCGGUUGGGGAUGGACUCGCGGCUUAUCAGCUUGUUGGUGGGGUAGUGGCUUACCAAGGCUUUGACGGGUAGCCGGCCUGAGAGGGUGACCGGCCACAUUGGGACUGCGAUACGGCCCAGACUCCUACGGGAGGCAGCAGUGGGGAAUAUUGCACAAUGGGCGGAAGCCUGAUGCAGCAACGCCGCGUGCGGGAUGACGGCCUUCGGGUUGUAAACCGCUUUCGCCUGUAACGAAGCGUGAGUGACGGUAAUGGGUAAAGAAGCACCGGCUAACUACGUG
rnacentral:rRNA from 1 species